rnacentral:sRNA from 10 species
ACAUAGAAGCGAUAGCAGCGGCAUCCUUUUUUGUCCUGAUAAGGUAAAAAAGAUAUAGCGAAUAGCGCGACCCGAA